AUGACCUUACGAAUACUGAUGCACACGGUACUUGAAUAUACUAGGAUGGGAAAGAAACCAAUUUACAGUAGGCCUAGCUUUGAUCUUGUGAAGAAAGUGGCAGUGAACAGUUUUGAACAGAAGCAAUUAACGAAAUGGUGAUUAAAAAAAAUCGAGCAGAGUUGAAGAUUUCGUACAUUAAAUUGACAGGCUCCAUUCACCACUAAGCAGAUGAGAAAGUGGCUGUAUUUCAUCUGGCUUGUUUACCAAGGAGUGGCUGUUAAAACAAUAAGUAACAUACCGUCCAAAUUAUAUCCUUUUUUUUAAAAUUUUCAAUACUUUUUUUCCUUGUAUUUGAGAUGGAAAAACGAUGAUUAACACAAUCAUGUGAAUUAUGUACAGAAAAAUUAAUCCCACGUAUAUUGUGCUUAUAAAUGACCAUACUUAUGUACAUGCUGUCCCAAACUUUUGAAUAGAGGACGUAUUUAGUUACCCUGCAGUAUAUCAACGCAUCAAUUGCAUCAAUGUUAUAACUUCUGAGAAGUACACACUCACAGAACAGCUCUUUCAUUGUAUUAAUUAAGUACUACAUAAGAAUGGUGUUGUAGAUUUUAAGUAUUUUCUUACAUAUCCAGUAUAAUUCUGAGAAUGUACCGGUUACUACUCAAUGAGGGAUUUCCCCCUGUGACUCGAUCAAUUCAUUAACAUAUUCUCUUUUGGGGAAACUAGUUCAAGAGCCUUGUUUUCCUUUGUCAGGCAUAGUAAAUGUAAUUUUUUAUAAUACAUGUAUUACUACCAGUAUUACAGCCAUGUGCACUGUUAUUUUCAUUUCAAUUAUAAAUAUUUGUCAAACACAAUAUAUAAACAAUAUAUGCUCUGAAUAGCUGUAAAUCUUCAAAAUGUUCAUCAAUUGUUUAUUGUUGACUUUGCUUUCUCUAUGAUGUCAUGUGUGCACUGGUCAUGCAUUAAUUUUGCUUGUAACUCUUGGUUGUGCUUCAUUAAAUUUUGUUCAUG
rnacentral:misc_RNA from 1 species